rnacentral:miRNA from 1 species
CAUCAUUCACUCUAAGCUGACU